CUCAGAUUGAACGCUGGCGGCAUGCCUUACACAUGCAAGUCGAACGGUAACAGGUCUUCGGACGCUGACGAGUGGCGAACGGGUGAGUAAUACAUCGGAACGUGCCCAGUCGUGGGGGAUAACUACUCGAAAGAGUAGCUAAUACCGCAUACGAUCUGAGGAUGAAAGCGGGGGACCUUCGGGCCUCGCGCGAUUGGAGCGGCCGAUGGCAGAUUAGGUAGUUGGUGGGAUAAAAGCUUACCAAGCCGACGAUCUGUAGCUGGUCUGAGAGGACGACCAGCCACACUGGGACUGAGACACGGCCCAGACUCCUACGGGAGGCAGCAGUGGGGAAUUUUGGACAAUGGGCGAAAGCCUGAUCCAGCAAUGCCGCGUGCAGGAUGAAGGCCUUCGGGUUGUAAACUGCUUUUGUACGGAACGAAAAAGCUCCUUCUAAUACAGGGGGCCCAUGACGGUACCGUAAGAAUAAGCACCGGCUAACUACGUGCCAGCAGCCGCGGUAAUACGUAGGGUGCGAGCGUUAAUCGGAAUUACUGGGCGUAAAGCGUGCGCAGGCGGUUAUGUAAGACAGAUGUGAAAUCCCCGGGCUCAACCUGGGAACUGCAUUUGUGACUGCAUGGCUAGAGUACGGUAGAGGGGGAUGGAAUUCCGCGUGUAGCAGUGAAAUGCGUAGAUAUGCGGAGGAACACCGAUGGCGAAGGCAAUCCCCUGGACCUGUACUGACG
rnacentral:rRNA from 1 species